rnacentral:rRNA from 1 species
UACGUAGGGUGCGAGCGUUGUCCGGAAUUAUUGGGCGUAAAGAGCUCGUAGGCGGUGUGUCACGUCGGCCGUGAAAACCUGCAGCUUAACUGUGGGCGUGCGGUCGAUACGGGCAUCACUGGAGUUCGGCAGGGGAGACUGGAAUUCCUGGUGUAGCGGUGGAAUGCGCAGAUAUCAGGAGGAACACCAAUGGGCGAAGGCAGCUCGCUGGGACGGUACUGACGCUAAGGCGCGAAAGCGUGGGGAGCAAACAGG